GCCUGGGUGGCUCAGUCAGUUAAGCGUCCGACUUCGGCUCAGGUCAUGAUCUCGUGGUUCGUGGGUUCGAGCCCCACGUCGGGCU
rnacentral:tRNA from 1 species